rnacentral:rRNA from 1 species
AACGAACGCUGGCGGCAGGCCUAACACAUGCAAGUCGAGCGGACCCUUCGGGGUUAGCGGCGGACGGGUGAGUAACGCGUGGGAAUAUGCCCUUCUCUACGGAAUAGUCCUGGGAAACUGGGGGUAAUACCGUAUACGCCCUUUGGGGGAAAGAUUUAUCGGGGAAGGAUUAGCCCGCGUUGGAUUAGGUAGUUGGUGGGGUAAUGGCCUACCAAGCCGACGAUCCAUAGCUGGUUUGAGAGGAUGAUCAGCCACACUGGGACUGAGAUACGGCCCAGACUCCUACGGGAGGCAGCAGUGGGGAAUCUUAGACAAUGGGGGCAACCCUGAUCUAGCCAUGCCGCGUGAGUGAUGAAGGCCUUAGGGUUGUAAAGCUCUUUCAGCUGGGAAGAUAAUGACGGUACCAGCAGAAGAAGCCCCGGCUAACUCCGUG